UACGAGGGAUGCAAGCGUUAUCCGGAAUUAUUGGGCGUAAAGCGUUUGUAGGCGGGCGAGUGUGUUUAAUGUUAAAUCUUAAAGCUCAACUUUGAAAUUGCGUUAAAAACUGCUUGUCUUGAGUAUGGUAGGGGUAAAGGGAAUUCCCAGUGUAGCGGUGAAAUGCGUAGAUAUUGGGAAGAACACUAAACAGCGAAGGCACUUUACUAGGCUAAUACUGACGCUGAGAAACGAAAGGUAAGGUAGCGAAACGGAUUAGAUACCCGUGUAGUCUUACCCGUAAACUAUGGACACUAAACGGUAAAUUUUUAAUUUACUGUUAAAGCUAACGCGUUAAGUGUCCCGCCUGGGGAGUAUGCUUGCAAAAGUGAAACUCAAAGGAAUUGACGGGGGCCCGCACAAGCGGUGGAGCAUGUGGUUUAAUUCGACGGUACACGAAGAACCUUACCAGGAUUUGACAUGCUAGAUAGUUGCUUGAAAGAGUAACGUGCCGUAAGGAAUCUAGACACAGGUGGUGCAUGGCUGUCGUCAGUUCGUGUUGCGAAAUGUUGGGUUAAGUCCCGCAACGAACGCAACCCUUGUCUUUAGUUAUUUUCUAAAGAGACUGCCUGUAAUAAACAGGAGGAAGGUAAGGAUGAGGUCAAGUCAUCAUGCCCCUUAUGUCCUGGGCUACACACGUGCUACAAUGGGAAAGACAAUGAGCUGCAAAUCUGUAAAUUUAAGCAAAUCUCUUAAACUUUCUCGUAGUUCGGAUUGUGGGCUGCAACUCGCCCACAUGAAGUUGGAAUCGCUAGUAAUCGCCAGUCAGCUAUAUGGCGGUGAAUCCGUUCCCGGGCCU
rnacentral:rRNA from 1 species